rnacentral:lncRNA from 1 species
GUUAACAGUUUUGAAUGUUUGGAAUUUUUAUUGUUAAUUUCAUACUAUUUUGCUAGUCUCAAAUUUAUCAUAACACAAUUUAUGGCUUUUCUUACAGAGACUGGAAAGUUAUAUAGUAACAGGUUGCUGAAGAAUCUGAAAGACCUCAAAAUGGGGAAGAUCAAAAAGGCUAACCUCCAUAGUUCUUUGGAAAAUAUGGGGUUGAAACUCUCAAUGGAGGAAUUUGCUGAAGUGGCAGACAACCUAGAAACGGAUGCAAAGGGGAAUGCUGAUCUGCAGAAAGUGAUGGAAAAGGUGAAAGCCAUUUCAGAGAAUGUCAAUGUUAAAAAUCUGGAAAAUGUUCUAAGCAACAUGGGAGUCAAGCUGACCAAGAAAGAACUGGAAGAUCUGUUAAAAAGUCUGCCCAUCAGUGCUGACAAUAAAGUGCCUCUGAAAACGCUGCGAGAAGAACUAAAAGCUUUCGUUGGAAAAAAAAUUGACCCUGACAACCUAAAGAGUGUACUUAAAAAUAUGGGGAUUGAGCUUUCGGAUAACGAAUUGAAGAAGAUCCUGAAAACGUUGCCCACUGAUGGUAAGUCAUGCCACAUAUCUCGCUCGAAGUAGCAGAUACCUUCCAGGGACCU